rnacentral:rRNA from 1 species
GAUGAACGCUGGCGGCGUGCCUAAUACAUGCAAGUCGAGCGAAUGGAUUAAGAGCUUGCUCUUAUGAAGUUAGCGGCGGACGGGUGAGUAACACGUGGGUAACCUGCCCAUAAGACUGGGAUAACUCCGGGAAACCGGGGCUAAUACCGGAUAACAUUUUGAACCGCAUGGUUCGAAAUUGAAAGGCGGCUUCGGCUGUAACUUAUGGAUGGACACGCGUCGCAUUAGCUAGUUGGUGAGGUACCGGCUCACCAAGGCAACGAUGCGUAGCCGACCUGAGAGGGUGAUCGGCCACACUGGGACUGAGACACGGCCCAGACUCCUACGGGAGGCAGCAGUAGGGAAUCUUCCGCAAUGGACGAAAGUCUGACGGAGCAACGCCGCGUGAGUGAUGAAGGCUUUCGGGUCGUAAAACUCUGUUGUUAGGGAAGAACAAGUGCUAGUUGAAUAAGCUGGCACCUUGACGGUACCUAACCAGAAAGCCACGGCUAACUACGUGCCAGCAGCCGCGGUAA